rnacentral:rRNA from 1 species
GAUGAACGCUGGCGGCGUGCCUAAUACAUGCAAGUCGAGCGAACGGACGAGAAGCUUGCUUCUCUGAUGUUAGCGGCGGACGGGUGAGUAACACGUGGAUAACCUACCUAUAAGACUGGGAUAACUUCGGGAAACCGGAGCUAAUACCGGAUAAUAUUUUGAACCGCAUGGUUCAAAAGUGAAAGACGGUCUUGCUGUCACUUAUAGAUGGUUCCGCGCUGCAUUAGCUAGUUGGUAAGGUAACGGCUUACCAAGGCAACGAUGCAUAGCCGACCGGUGAGGGUGAUCGGCCACACUGGAGCUGGGACACGGUCAAGGCUCCUGCGGGAGGCAGCAGUAGGGAAUCUUCCGCAAUGGGCGAAAGCCUGACGAAGCAACGCCGCGUGAGUGAUGAAGGUCUUCGGAUCGUAAAACUCUGUUAUUAGGGAAGAACAUAUGUGUAAGUAACUGUGCACAUCUUGACGGUACCUAAUCAGAAAGCCACGGCUAACUACGUG